rnacentral:rRNA from 1 species
GAACGCUGGCGGCGUGCCUAAUACAUGCAAGUCGAGCGGAUCCUGCCCUUCGGGGCAGGGUUAGCGGCGGACGGGUGAGUAACACGUAGGCAACCUGCCUGUAAGACCGGGAUAACUACCGGAAACGGUAGCUAAGACCGGAUAACCGGUUUCCUCGCAUGGGGGAAUCGUGAAACACGGGGCAACCUGUGGCUUACGGAUGGGCCUGCGGCGCAUUAGCUAGUUGGUGGGGUAACGGCCUACCAAGGCGACGAUGCGUAGCCGACCUGAGAGGGUGAACGGCCACACUGGGACUGAGACACGGCCCAGACUCCUACGGGAGGCAGCAGUAGGGAAUCUUCCGCAAUGGACGCAAGUCUGACGGAGCAACGCCGCGUGAGUGAGGAAGGCCUUCGGGUCGUAAAGCUCUGUUGCCCUAGACGAAAGACUCAGAGAGUAACUGCUCUGAGAGUGACGGUAUAGGAGAAGAAAGCCCCGGCUAACUACGUGCCAGCAGCCGCGGUAAUACGUAGGGGGCAAGCGUUGUCCGGAAUUAUUGGGCGUAAAGCGCGCGCAGGCGGUUUGGUAAGUCUUCUGUUUAACCCC